UCACUAUGGCUUCUCUUCAACGUAUGAUUCAUUCGCUUUUUACUAAAGAAUUCCGUGGAGAGGAGCAGUUCAAUGAGUCUUGAACAUUUUUCGAUAUCCGGCGAACUUUUAUUGGGG
rnacentral:snRNA from 1 species